rnacentral:rRNA from 1 species
UACGUAGGGCGCAAGCGUUAUCCGGAAUUAUUGGGCGUAAAGAGCUCGUAGGCGGUUUGUCGCGUCUGCCGUGAAAGUCCGGGCUCAACUCCGGAUCUGCGGUGGGUACGGGCAGACUAGAGUGAUGUAGGGGAGACUGGAAUUCCUGGUGUAGCGGUGAAAUGCGCAGAUAUCAGGAGGAACACCGGAUGGCGAAGGCAGGUCUCUGGGCAUUAACUGACGCUGAGGAGCGAAAAGCAUGGGGGAGCGAACAGGGA